AUGCAUGUUGACAUAUGCACAUUGCACACCGGCAUAUGCACAUUGCACACCGGCAUAUGCACACUGGCAUAGUAAUUUUGACACAGAUAACACCCCAUACAGAUGAAGCGAUAUACAAGAGCACACUGUAAUUAUUCCAUUCAAUCUUUACGAGUAAACAUACCUAAUUCAUACGAAUUCACGAACGAAAACAUUCAAAACCAUUGUAGGAAAGUUAGACACUACAUGUUUGGCUAUCUAGAAGGACUUGUGCCUGGAAAGGAGCUGGAUGAGAAACUUAAAAAGUAUAAAACUGCGGUGAAGUCACACAGGCGUAUUGGAAUACACGAGUGACCACGACAAUUUGUCCUAGAACUUUCUAAUGACCUAACUUAGUUUAUUGUACUGUUUUGUGCACUGUUUCAUAAUACUAACAUGAUUGCAUUAAUUUUUAUAAAGUUGAAACAAUUCCUGCAACGGUGCCAUAAUAAAAUAAUAGUCUACUUAUUGAAUCUACUUCUUACUUAAUGUGACCUAGUAUGGUUUGCAAUGGAAUGUAAACCUUGCAUACCAAAUAUGGACUUGUGAAACCACACAGGGCUGGAGUUAAAUCACUUUUAAACAAAAUACAAUAUUAGCUCUAAGGUUAAAGGUGAACCAAAAAAAUCAAAUUUGAAGCCAUACAAAAUGUAGCCCAGUCCACCCCCUUUAAGAUAAAACACCAUGGAGAUAUUAAACAAUAAAAAAAGCCAAUAGAAUGGGCAUUUGUGGCUAACUGCACUAUAUAAAAGAAGAGAGGGUAUGCAUGGCCAUGAAACUCAAAUCACUAUCUAUAGUACAAGCAGAAUUCAAAUGUCGGCGGAUGAAUAUGUGAAUUUGAAUGAAGUGCUAAAAAUAGAAGCUAAAAAUAGAAAUUUCUAUUUUUAGCACUUCACGCAGUCAUGGCACAUUCAUCCGUCCACAAUUGAAUUCUGCUCUUUUGCUGCUCUGUCUUCUUCUCAUUAUGACUCUGGAAGGAAUUAGACUUGGCUUUUUAGAAGCAGGGUAAGUAUUAUAUUAUAUAGAUCCACAGCUUUUAGUAUCUUACAUCUUGUUGGAGUCUGAAUGGAAUUCUAGAACUCAAAUGAGGGAAGUACUGGAGACUAUUAUUCAGUACCCUAGGUUUCCUUUAGAUUUCGAAAGGUUUCUGGAUGCAAAAUUUGCUGAAGACAAUUCAGAUGAUGAAAUUAAAAACAAGGAGAAGUACAACGUCACCUACUACCAUCUAGCAACAAUCCAAAACUGGAUUAUGUGACCUUAUUUAAUGUAUUGUAACUAGAUCUACUGUAAACAGUUUGAUGCUUCAUGCUAUUACCGUACCCUCGCGAAAAUACGCCCACCCUUUUCUGCAAGAAGUCUAGGCUUAUUAGGGGACUGGGCGUUUAAUCGCGAACAGCGAGUUUUCAUUCGAAUAUACGCCCACCCGCGGCCUCAAAUCGAGGUUUACACUUUGCUUUGUGGCAAUUCUGUAUUAAUUUAU